UAUCAACGCAAAGCAAAUGGGAAAAAGCAAAGACAUCAUGUAGAUGGUUGCGUCUUCUUUAAUCUUACUAAAUCUGUUAAGGUAUGUUUAUUAUAAAGUUUACCUAUCAGAGUGUCAU